rnacentral:tRNA from 1 species
UCCCUAGUAGCUUAGUGGUAAAGCACCUGCCUGCCAAUGCCGGAGACCUGGGUUCAACCCCUGGGUUGGGAA